rnacentral:rRNA from 1 species
UGGGGAAUAUUGGGCAAUGGAGGAAACUCUGACCCAGCAACGCCGCGUGAGUGAAGAAGGUCUUCGGAUUGUAAAGCUCUUUGAUUGGGAACGAAAGGAUGACGGUACCCAAAGAACAAGCUCCGGCUAACUACGUGCCAGCAGCCGCGGUAAUACGUAGGGAGCAAGCGUUAUCCGGAAUAACUGGGCGUAAAGGGUGCGUAGGCGGUAAUGCAAGUUAGAUGUGAAAUACCCGGGCUUAACCCGGGAACUGCAUCUAAAACUGUAUAACUUGAGUGCAGGAGAGGAAAGUGGAAUUCCUAGUGUAGCGGUGGAAUGCGUAGAUAUUAGGAGGAACACCAGAGGCGAAGGCGGCUUUCUGGACUGUAACUGACGCUGAGGCACGAAAGCAUGGGGAGCAAACAGG